rnacentral:misc_RNA from 1 species
GCGGCUGCGGCGACUUCAACCUGCACCAUCUCCCUCCUCCCCGCCUCCCACCGUGGAUCCGCUUCCCCCGCCGCCCACUCCCUCUCCUUCGGCCUCUCCCCCGCUGCUUCCAAGCCUCUCCGAUGCGCCGCCACCGGCGGCGGCGCUGUCGGCGCCCGUAUGGUCUCCGUCCCCGCCGUCAGCAAGCCGCCGAUAUCGCUCGAUUUUGAGACAUCGGUGUUCAAGAAGGAGAAGGUCUCCCUCGCCGGUCACGAUGAGUAUAUCGUGAGGGGAGGGCGGGAUCUGUUCAACUUGCUGCCGGAGGCGUUUAAGGGGGUUAAGCAGAUCGGAGUCAUUGGCUGGGGAUCGCAGGGUCCUGCACAGGCACAGAAUUUGAGGGAUUCACUUGCUGUUGCACAAUCAGAUAUUGUGGUGAAGAUUGGUCUGAGAAAAGGUUCUCGAUCUUUUGAGGAAGCACGUGCUGCUGGGUUUACUGAAGAAACUGGAACAUUGGGCGAUAUCUGGGAAACCAUUUCAAGCAGUGACCUAGUGCUGUUAUUGAUUUCAGAUGCUGCUCAGGCUGACAAUUAUGAGAAGAUAUUCUCUCUCAUGAAGCCUAACAGUAUCCUGGGGCUAUCACAUGGUUUCCUUCUUGGACACCUGCAAACCCUUGGCCUUGAUUUCCCCAAGGGCAUCAGUGUAAUUGCUGUAUGCCCAAAGGGAAUGGGUCCAUCUGUGAGGAGGCUGUAUGUUCAAGGCAAAGAGAUAAACGGGGCAGGGAUCAAUUCCAGUUUUGCCGUUCAUCAGGAUGUUGAUGGCAGAGCUACAGAUGUUGCCCUGGGCUGGUCCGUCGCUCUUGGUUCACCGUUUACUUUUGCAACUACCCUAGAACAGGAAUACAAGAGUGACAUUUUUGGGGAGCGUGGUAUUUUACUUGGUGCUGUGCAUGGAAUUGUGGAGGCCUUGUUUAGAAGGUACACUGAAAACGGAAUGAGCGAGGAGUUGGCCUAUAAGAACACUGUUGAAUGUGUAACAGGAAUUGUAUCCAGGAUGAUUUCGACAAAGGGCAUGCUCGCCGUGUACAACUCCUUGUCUGAGGAUGGUAAGAAGGAAUUUGAUGCUGCAUAUAGUGCAUCCUACUACCCUAGCAUGGACAUUCUGUACGAGUGCUACGAGGAUGUGGCCUGUGGAAGUGAGAUUCGCAGUGUUGUUUUGGCUGGACGCCGCUUUUAUGAAAAGGAAGGCCUCCCUGCAUUCCCAAUGGGCAAAAUUGAUCAGACAAGAAUGUGGAAAGUUGGCGAGAGAGUCCGUGCGAACCGACCUGAAGGAGAUUUGGGACCGCUGCAUCCAUUUACUGCUGGUGUUUUCGUGGCAUUAAUGAUGGCUCAGAUUGAGGUCCUAAGGAAGAAGGGUCAUUCCUACUCGGAGAUCAUCAACGAGAGUGUGAUUGAGUCAGUGGAUUCCCUGAACCCUUUUAUGCAUGCUCGAGGGGUUUCGUUUAUGGUUGAUAAUUGUUCCACGACUGCCCGUUUGGGUUCGAGGAAGUGGGCACCGCGUUUCGAUUACAUUCUCACCCAGCAGGCGUUUGUGGCUGUGGACAAUAAUGCUGCAAUCAAUGAAGACCUUCGGAGCAGUUUCUUGGUUGAUCCGAUUCAUGGUGCCAUCGAAGUAUGUGCGCAGCUGAGGCCUACUGUGGACAUAUCAGUGCCUGCUAAUGCUGAUUUCGUGCGCCCGGAGUUGCGCCAAUCGAGCAACUAAGGUUAGUAUCAGGGUGGUGGUUGAGUAUUGUUGUCUGUCUUUGUCUUUGCUUCGACAAGUCAUGCUUUAGCGAGUUAUUUAGAGUAAUGAGGUUGCAUGUCUUUUAAGUGAAAACAAUGCUAGCGAGAAUAAUUGGUAUUUAUAUGUGCAAGUUAUCUUUGCUUGUUAUUCUGAAUCUUUGGAUGUCCUAU